AACUGGCAUGAAGGGUUUAACAGUUUAAAGCUUGUGACGAAUUUACAUAGUGAAAUUAUAGUUUUAGUAAAAAUACUGAAAUUUCUUUAAAGGGACGAGAAGACCCUAAAAGCUUUAAUAGUUAGGGUAGGGACAAGUUGGUGGUUACAGGUCUUUAUUUGAGUUAUUUUUACUGGGGCAGUAGUGUUAGAGAUAGUUAAAAUUUUGUAUACUAAGUUUAGGAGGUAUGAUCUUUUAUAUAAGAAUAUUUAGGAUAAGUUACUUUAGGGAUAACAGCGUUAUAUCUUUGGGGAGAUCUUAUUUAUAAAGGUGAUUACGACCUCGAUGUUGAAUUAAAAAAUCUCUUUGGCGCAGUAGACAAGUGAGAGGGUUUGUUCAACCUUUAAAUUUUUACAUGAUUU
rnacentral:rRNA from 1 species